GAUCCCAAACUAAGUGAAAACACUGUUACAACGAAUAACAAUUAGGUAUAUUCAGUGUGUUCGGAUCUAGGCUAAUGAUGUUUACAAUUAAGAUAGCCUAGUCUAAGAACUGUAUAAAGAUUCACAAGUGUAAACUUGGAAUAGUAUAAUGAAGAAUAAGUUCCUAUUUGGACGAUUGCUGUAAUAAAAAGUUUAACCAUAAAUGUUAGAGUAUUGAAGAACACGGCAAUGUCGGAGCCCACGCGUAUCUAGAUCUUUCAUCGCAUAUAUAGACGAGAGUUUAAUAGAGUCGUUGGGGAGAACUCUUCUUCAGUUCUAAAUAGUUGGUCGUUGAAAACUUCUCGUUGGACUACUUUUGAAAUGUGGCUGUCGAGUCUGCAACUUUGUGUGACGAACUCUGCGACUUCUGAUUUCUAUUUUGCAAUUUGUCAGGUAUGCAUGCAAUCUGGCGUUUGUGGAUUGGAAGCCAGCUGCAAAUCUGCAAUAUCUGAUCAACUGCUUCCUGAUUACUCAGUUGGAUAUGCACAUUCGCCAAGUCUUCUGAUUCCGCUGAGUCUUCUGAGCUGGAUCUCCUCGUCAAUUGGUUCCUCUGGAUCUUCACUUCAGCUAGAACUCUUUCUUCAGUUGUGACUUCAUCUUUAGCAGAACCUUCUUCUUAACUGGGAUAAAUACAUCAGUUGGAAUGCCAAAUAGCCUUUGACUUCUUCAUACUCCCUCCGUCCCAGCCCAAUAGGCUCAGUUUCCUUUUUGGGACGUCCCACUCCAAUAGGCCCAGUCUUAAAAUAGAAAGAAUUAGGGCUUAUGUAAGUGUAAGUUUGAGGCUUAAUUAAGGGAGAUAUACUCCUAAUUAUUUCUCAUUUUUAAACACUCAGCCCAUUCACUGAACUCAUUCAUCGAGCUCAUUCCAUCAUUUCUCUCUCUACUCAAACCCUAGAAUCGAAAAGGCGCCCUCCCUUCUUCAACGGCCAGAGCGUCGCCGCCGACACCAGAGCUCCGACGACACUCUCUCUCUUCGACUUCCCCUCCCCUCUAGAAUCCGGCGAACAGCAGCAGCAGACGGAGCCUACCGGCAUCCCCCUCAGAUCUCGCUUCCCCCUAGCAGCAGACGGAGCCUCCACUUCUAACGAAGCAGCGCCCAACCUCGCCACCGCCAUCCCCCUCAGAUCUCGCUUCCCCUCACCAAGUCACCAGAUCCCGGCGACUUCAUUCCUCCACCGCCUGUACGGACCGCCUCUACCCUCCACCGUCUCCACCGCGUCUUCGGUCUCCACCGCCUCUACCCUCCACCGUCUCCACCGCGUCUUCGGUCUCCACCACCUCCAUCCGCCUUAUACAUCGGGAUCCCUAGAUCUGGUGAGGGAGACGAUGUCGUGGUUGAAACCCCUGAUUUUGGGUGGGGUUGCAGAUCUAGAAUUCUUCGUUCUUGAAGCUUCGUUCUUGAAGCUUGUUGAAUUGUUGAAGCUUGUUGAAGCUUCGUACAUGGUGAAAUGGGUUGCCGAAAGUUUCGUUCUUGAAGCUUGUUGAAUUGUUUGAAUUGUUGAAGCUUGAAGCUUGAAGAAGAAUGAAUUGUUGAAGCUUUAAGAAAAUGAAUUUCGGCAGUUUAGAUUUAAUCUUGAAGAAGAAUGAAUUGUGUGAAUCAUAUGCAGUGGCUGUUCAAUUUCUGUGAAGCAUUUGAUUGUUGAUUUGUUGCUGAAUUCGAUUAAUUGAACAAAUGUGAUUAAGGAAAAUAUGAGAACACUUAAAACAUUAAUUGUUGGUGGACCACACCAUUUACCUACCAAAAAGUGGUUUUCUUAAUCUCCGUGCCGAAAGCAACUGGGCCUAUUGGCCUGGGACGGAGGGAGUAGUAUUUAUCUAAGUCUUUUCUCAAGAACUUAGAUUUCGGCAUGCUGCAUUUAGUUGGGAUAUUCCUAAUUUAUCAGCUAGUUUAACUAUCAUCGAGGUUUUGUUAUCAUUGAAUUUUGGCAUCUUUGAAAUUAAGAAUUUUUCUAACAAUGUUUGAUUAAUUAAAGGAAUAAUUGCGUGAAAAUACACAAACUUUGCCAAAAAUCCAUAUUUGACGCGAAGUUAGGAUUUUACAUUUUAAUACACCAACUUUCGUUGUUGUCCAAAUUUGACACGACUUAAUUCUUAAAAAUUCAAAAAACAACCCCUUUUUGUAAAUAAUUAUACUAAGACCCACUUAUGUUAUUAUUUGGGACAUUUAAACCAAAACAAGAUAUUUCCUUAUGAUGUUUUCUUUUAAUCUUUGAUCCGCGCCUAAAAUUAAAAGAAAACAUCAUAAGGAAAUAUCUUGUUUUGGUUUAAAUGUCCCAAAUUAUAACAUAAGUGGGUCUUUGUAUAAUUAUUUAUAAAAANUUAAAUGUCCCAAAUUAUAACAUAAGUGGGUAUUUUAUAAUUAUUUACAAAAAUGGGUUAUUUUUUGAAUUUUUAAGAAUUAAGUCGUGUCAAAUUUGAACAACAACGAAAGUUGGUGUAUUAAAAUGUAAAAUCCUAACUUCGCGUCAAAUAUGGAUUUUUGGCAAAGUUUGUGUAUUUAGGUGCAAUUUUCCCUUAAUUAAAUAAUGUCUAAUAUAAUAUAAGAAGAUAUUGAGUGAUUUGGAAUAAAUAAUAAUUUGGCUAAUUUAUACCUUAAAUAUGGUGAAGGGUACUUAGGUAAAAUUCUUAAGUUUUAGAUAAAAUAAAAUAACUAAAAUAUUAAAUUAUGUACGUACAUAUUAUGUACAUUUAGUAUUAUUAUCGAUUUAUCACAUACUUUCUAUAAUUUGAUGUUUUAUUCUUGGCAAACCAAAAUUAACCCAAAAUUCACAUCUACUUUUGGUACUUGAAAUUUUGAUAUGCCUCGUGGAAUAUCACAUGCAAUUAUGUGACAUUUUUACUCAUUAAUUAAAGAAUAAUAUGAAUGUCAUGUCAUUAAAAAAACAAGAAAAAUUCGUGUAGAGCACUUUUCUCUAAUGACAGUGAUCGAAUAUUUAAUUUCUUAAAUGACUAAUUGAAAAUGAAAUACAAAAUGAAGUUAAUCGAAUAUCUCUCGCCCGCUAAUCAAAAUUAAUACGAUUAAUAACAAACUAUAUAUUGCCCACUUGCGAUGGGAUGUAGUUAUACUUAUAUCCAUGGUCGUACUUGGACAUCAAGGAUUCCCAAAGCAAGAAAAUUCUUAAGAGAAUGAACUCCAACUCAUAUUUGUUAUUUAAAAAAAAUAUGAAGUUGGCAAAAACGAAUUAAUUUGUAACACACAAAUUGUAUAACAAGCAAACAGAUUAUCCAAAUAUUCUGGACAGUCUGGAAAAGUUUGCUGAGAAGUCAAAAAUUCUGCCAAAUGGAAAUAGGCUGGCAUGCAAGAUUUGAACAUUAUAUAUUCAAAUUGCUGAUUUUAAAUGUGAAACCAAAUUAAGCGAUAUAGUUUCUAGACGUUCAAUUUCAUAAGGAAUAAUUUAGGUUACACUCAAUAUAUGAUAAUCUCGAUCAAAUAUAUUUAUAUAUAUUAUAUAAAUUGUAUGUUGAUGUUGAUUAUGUGUGUGUGUUUCCAGGAGUCUAGAUAAUUAAAUAAAAUAAUACUCCACUAUUUAUAACGUGAAUUGAUGUAUAUACAGCGUGUCAAUAUCGAUAGAUAUCAUACCCCAUAAUUACAUAGAUGGUAGAAUAUAAUAUAAAAUAUAAUAGAAUAGUCCUCUCACUUUUUUGGAUUGGGGGAAAAGGAGAUAUUGGAGAAAGACUCGUCAAAGUUGAAUGGAGAAAAUAUUUCAAAAAGAGAAAACACUACUCCCUCCGUCCACGAAUUAAAGCCCCGUUUGAGGGUGGGCACGGAGACUAAGAAAGCUAAAAAAGGUGUUGUAGAUGAAAUAUAAGGGUAGUUGACUAAAGUGAUAAAGUAGUUGACUAAAGUGUUAAAGGUGUUGUGUGGUGGGUCCACUAGUGAUAAAGUGUAAUAAAUAUAGAAUAUAAAAAUGAUAAAGUUGUUGUAAGGUGGGUCCAUUAGUGGCAAAGGGUAGUAAAUAUAGGAAAAGAAGAAGAGUAAAAAGGUACAUAAAGCACAAUAGGGCUUUAAUUGGUGGACAAAAAUUUAAGUGCAAGUAGGGCUUUAAUUCGUGGACGGA
rnacentral:lncRNA from 1 species